rnacentral:rRNA from 1 species
AUUGACCGCUGGCGGCAGGCCUAACACAUGCAAGUCGAGCGAGCGGCGGCCGGGUGAGUAAUGUAUGGGGAUCUGCCCGAUAGAGGGGGAUAACUACUGGACACGGUGGUUAAUACCGCAUACUAUCGGAUGUCCCCAUCUGGGAUUAGCUAGUAGGUGGGGUAAAGGCUCACCUAGGCGACGAUCUCUAGCGGGUCUGAGAGGAUGAUCAGCCAAACUGGGACUGAGACACGGCCCAGACUCCUACGGGAGGCAGCAGUGGGGAAUAUUGGAAAAUGGGCGAAAGCCUGAUGCAGCCAUGCCGCGUGUGUGAAGAAGGCCUUAGGGUUGUAAAGUACUGUCAGCGGGGAGGCGUUACCCGCAGAAGAAGCACCGGCUAACUCCGUGCCAGCAGCCGCGGUAAUAC